CACGGACCAAGGAGUCUAACAGGUACGCGAGUUGAGGAGUUGUCUAAACUGUUGAGCGAAGCGAAAGCAAAACGGACCGUCUUCGGACGGUUCAAGCUGAUCCGGUGCCUCUUCUUUUCGAGGAGCCCGGCGCAGGCUAAGGGCCCGCCAUUGUCAGUCUUUGUUYUUGGUCGUUUCGCGCGAUYUACGUCGACUGGUUGGCGGGCACCCAGAGCGUGCACGUUAGUACCCGAAAGAUGGUGAUHUAUGCUUGGCUAGAAUGAAGCCAGAGGAAACUYUGGUGGAGGUUCGUAGCGAUUYUGACGUGCAAAUCGAUCGUCGGAGCUGAGUAUAGGGGCGAAAGACCAAUCGAACCAUYUAGUAGCUGGUUCCCUCCGAAGUUUCCCUCAGGAUAGCUGGCACUCGUGCCUGAACGAGUUUCAUCCGGUAAAGAGAAUGAUUAGGGGUCCUUGGGGAUGAAAUUUCCUCAGCCCAUUCUCAAACUCUAAAUGGGUGAGAAGUCGGGCUUUYGUAAUUAGAAGCCACGGCGUUGAAUCAGAGUGCCCAGUGGGCCUAUUUUGGUAAGCAGAACUGGCGCUGUGGGAUGAACCAAACGUUCGGGUUAAGGGGCCAAAAUGUCGGUCAAUACAGAAACCUUUAAAGGCGUUGGUCGCUCAUGACAGCAGGUC
rnacentral:rRNA from 1 species